AUGGCCUUCAUCAUCAUCAUAUCAUCAUCAGGGCGCCGUCUCAUCUGCAUCAUCAUCAUCAUCAUCGUUAUCUUCAUUCAUCAUAUCAUCUCAUAUCAUCAUCAUCAUUCUUCAUCAUCUCAUCAUUCAUCAUCAUCUUCAUCAUCAUCUUCAUUCAUCUUCAUCAUUCAUCAUCAUAUCUUUCAUCAUCAUCAUCAUCUUCAUCACACCUUCAUCAUCUUCAUCUUCAUCUUCAUCAUCAUCUUCAUCAUCUUCAUCAUCCUCAUCAUGGCCUUCAUCUUCAUUGUCUCGCCUUCAUCAUUCCUCAUCGCAGCCUUCAUCUUCACCAUCCUCCUCAUCCUCAUCACGGCCUUCAUCUUCAUUCCUCUUUUUAUGGCCCUCCAUCAUCCCCUUCCUCUUCCUCCCCCCCUCCAUCUUCCUCCUCCCCCUACCCCUCCUCCUCUUCCUCUCCUUCAUCCCAUUGACUCCUUCAUUCUCCUCCCCUCCUCCUCCUCCUCAUUGACUCCUUCAUCUUCUCCCCCCCCCUUCAUUUCCUCCCCCCGCCCCUCCAUCCUCUUUCCUCCCCAUCUCCCCCCAUUCCGACUCAUUGUCCCCUCAUAUCCACCCUCAUCUUCCUCCCCCCCUCCUCCUCUCUUCCUCCCCUACUUCAUCCUCUUCCUCCCCCCCUUUAUCCAUUCUCCUCCUCUUCCUCUCCUUCAUCCCCAUUGCCCCCCUGCAUCUUCCUCCCCCCCCCUCCAUCCUCCUCUCCCCUUCAUCCCCAUGACUUCCUUCAUCCUUUCCUCCCCCUCCCUCCAUUCCUCUUCCUCCCCCAUUCUCCCCCCAUUCCUACUCAUUGUCCCCUCCAUUUUCAUUCACCCUCAUCUUCUUCCCCCCCUCUCAUCCUCCUCUUUCCUCUCCUUCAUCCCCAUUGACUCCUUCAUCUUCCUCCCCCUUCCCCCCUCCUCCUCCAUAGACCCCCAUCUUCCUCCCCCCCCCUUCAUUUCCUCCCCCCCCCCCUCUCCUCUUCCUCCCCUACUUCAUCCCUCUUCCUCCCCCCCCCUCCAUCACUCUCCCCUCCUCCUCCCCUUCAUCCCCAUUGCCCCCCAUCUUUCCUCUCCCCCCCCCCGAUCUUUCCUCCCCCCCAACCCUCCAUCCUCUUCCUGCUCCUUCAUCCCAUUGACUCCUUCAUCUUCCUCCUCUCCUCCUCCAUUAGAACCCCCACUUUCCUCCCCCCUCCAUCUUCCUCCUCACCUCCUCCUCCUCUUCCUCCCCUACUUCAUCCUCUCCUCCCCCCCCGCCCAUCCUCCUCCUCUCGCUUCAGUCCCCAUUGCUCCUUCAUCUUCCUUCCCCCCUCCCUCCAUCCUUCUUUCCUCCCCAUCUCCCCCCAUUCCUACUCAUUGUCCCCUCCAUCAUCACCCUCAUCUUCCUCCCCCCCUCCUCUUCCUCCCCCCCCCCUCCUCCUCUUCUCCUCUCCUUCAUCCCCAUCCCCCUCCUCCUCUCCUUCAUCCCCAUUGCCCCCCAUGAUCUUCCUCCUCCUCUUCCUCCCGUUGCUGUGUGUACAAGCAGGGCAGUCGGAGCGGUGGGAGGGCUGGGAGUCACCGGUGGGGUCGUGGAACUCUAUGGGGGGAGUGGGUGAGAGAGGAGACAGGGGGAGAUGGGGGCAGCACCCAUUAGGGGGGGGGCAGCACCCAUAGGGGGGGGCAGCACCCAUGGGGGGGCAGCACCCAUAGGGGGGGAUAUAAGCACCCCUUAGGCUGGGCAACAUAUGACAACCGCACCCCCAUAUGACGACCCCCCCCACCCCCAUAUGACGGACCCCCAUAUGGACGACCCCCCCAUAUGACGACCCCCCCCAUUAUGUUGACCCCCCCAUUAUGGCGACCCCCCCCCCCCCCACGUGUGACGACCCCCCCCCCAUAUGACGACCCCAACCCCCCCAUAUUGACGAACCCCCCCCAUAUGACGACCCCCCCAACCCCCCAUAUGACGACCCCCCCCCCAUAUGACGAC
ensembl:lncRNA